AAAACGCGGGGCCCCGGGGGCCGCGCUCUCUUCCCCCUGGGAGCCCGCGCUCAGCGUGUCCUGCCUGAAUGUGAGCUCGGCGGGGCUGCGUCGUUACGAGCUGUUGCGGUGGGAUUUCAGUCUGGCUCCCACUGGGGCAGCUCAUCCCCCCGGUAACGGUGGGACCCAGGCUCUUCCAUCAGUUGGUGGAGGUUUGUCGACAGACCCGCGUGUCCCGGGUGCGAGGGGUGGACGAGGCUCCGAGAAAGGCCGCUGAGGUCAUGGGACAGGUGGAGAGGCCGCCCGAAGAGGAGGGAAGCAAACAUUUAUCAGGCGCCCAGGAGGCCAGACGUUGGCCAAGGAGCACCCGGAGGUUCAAGUCCUGUGACCUUGGCUGGGACGCAGCAGGGAGUCGCUGCCCCUCCCCGUCGUGCGGAGGGGAAACGGAAGCCUUGGAGAGGGCGCGACAGCCCGUGUUUGGAGCCGGACUCCCUCCCCCGACGCGUAGACUCUCCAUUCUCAGUGCUUGUCCAAGAAAGUUCGGUUUUGCUUAGAAAAACCCAGUGUUCCCCAUCAGUAAGUGACCUUCUGUCAGUCAUGCUGGGGUCCCGUGGUGUCCCCUCCCUUGUGGUCAUGCGGGAGUCCUCCCGUGCCUCUACCCUUCCACUCCCGCAGGCCAUCCCCCCCCCCCCCAUUCAGUCAGAGAACGAGGCAGGAGAAGGGUCCCCCCUCCCUUUCGGAAGGUUCCAGAUAGACCCAGCCAGCAGGAGCGCAGGCUCAUCUGCCCACUUUCCGUCAGCCAGACGCAGUACCCUGGGCUGGCCUGCCAGGUGGGGAGUGGAGAAUGAGGCCACCCACACGCGGCGAUCGGGGUCACACGCCCAACCCCCUCAGCCUGACACCCCACCCACGCUUUCUCUCAGGCUUAAGUUCCGAAGCCCAGGGUCCUCCCCUGUGGAGCAGCGAAAAUUCGAGAAGGAGCAUGAGAACGCCCAUGGCUGAGGUCUACGAACCACUAACUCCAGGCAGGUGCCUGGGAGGACGGCUGGCGGCUUACCUCUCCUAGGGGUCAGGGACCGGGAGCCUCCCCCAGCAGGCCUGCCCCCCACCUCCCAGGGGGCGCGUGGAGCCCGGCAGAGGGGACAGCAAUGGGGUCUCCCUCCCUCCCGGUCCUCCCUCCACAUCUGAUCUCCCGCAAAUCGGGCAAUUUCCUGAAGCACCGUGGAAAAACCGCCAGGGCGGCAGGUGAGAGCCUGUUUUUCACUAACUCGGCCGGAAACCCCAAGUAGGAAAGCACAGAAACCGCGUGCUGUCCCUGAACAACGGACAGCUACUUGAAGGUGGCUUUCCAAACCAAACGAGGCCGUGUCCCGAGCGGCCCCCUUGGGUCUUGGAGCACAAACGGCCGGGGUUCCCGUUAGGCCUUGCGCACGAUGGCUGGGGAGCCGUCAGCUCUGCAGGGACGGCCUUCGAAGCAGCCAGGUGCAUAUCGAAGAUUCCAGUUCGUGUGUGGCUUCCUGGCUCAUUGGGACAAAAAACAGGGAUCUCUCUCCCCGGAGCCCCCACUAACUGUCCACCGAUGUGGUGCACUGAUGGGGACUGAGGCGCCGUCCGCCCCUCCUUGCUGUGUCCCCAGUCACCUGUGCAGAGGCAGAGAGGGCCUGGGCGGCUUCCAGACCGCGGGUCAGUGUGUGCACGAUCCAACACGAGUCUCCCUAGAGCCGAUUGGAGCUGCGUGAGGCAUCAGAGGAGACAAGUAAACAAAAAAUCCUCGAGGCCAUAGGCCGAGCACUGCCCACCUCGGCAGCGUGGACCGGGAGAGCGCCGACCUUGAAGGUGCACAUCGGCCCCUCCCUCCGCCCAAACGCCCACGGACAGGACAGGAGCCCUUUCCUCCUGCCUGAGAACCGCGCGUUUGAUCCCGCGCUUGGCUCAAAAGGAACCAUUAUUUCAGACUCAACAAGUCUGGGCCCAGCUUAUUAACAUGCCGUUUGUGUUGUGAA